rnacentral:lncRNA from 1 species
CAUGGCCAUGCUCUCGUAGGCCGUCGAGUACGACCGCAGUUCGCCCACGAUCAGCCGUCGCAGGCAGCGGCCGCGGCCCUCGGACCGCGGCCGCUGUUGUCGGUGCCCCGCUGUCUCGCUCAUCUCCGGCUCCUACUCUUGGCCUGUCUCUUUCUCUCUUUUUUUCCCCUCCUUGCCGUCGUCUUUGCCUCUUGACGCGGUCCUCUGUCGGCGCGGUGCUCUCGGGUCGCGUGCGCUUUGUCUAUGGGGGCGGUGGGCGAGGCAACAAUCGAGGCGCACAACAGCGGGCUUGGGCC